GGAACGCUGACAGAAUGCUUAACACAUGCAAGUCUACUUUAUCCUUCGGGUGAUGGUGGCGGACGGGUGAGUAACGCGUAAAGAACUUGCCUUGCAGUCUGGGACAACGUCUGGAAACGGACGCUAAUACCGGAUAUUAUGAUUGAAUCGCAUGAUUUGAUUAUGAAAGCUAUAUGCGCUGCGAGAGAGCUUUGCGUCCCAUUAGUUAGUUGGUGAGGUAACGGCUCACCAAGACGAUGAUGGGUAGCCGGCCUGAGAGGGUGAACGGCCACAAGGGGACUGAGACACGGCCCUUACUCCUACGGGAGGCAGCAGUGGGGAAUAUUGGACAAUGGACCAAAAGUCUGAUCCAGCAAUUCUGUGUGCACGAUGAAGUUUUUCGGAAUGUAAAGUGCUUUCAGUUGGGAAGAAGAAAGUGACGGUACCAACAGAAGAAGCGACGGCUAAAUACGUGCCAGCAGCCGCGGUAAUACGUAUGUCGCAAGCGUUAUCCGGAUUUAUUGGGCGUAAAGCGCGUCUAGGCGGUUUGGUAAGUCUGAUGUGAAAAUGCGGGGCUCAACUCCGUAUUGCGUUGGAAACUGCUAAACUAGAGUACUGGAGAGGUAGGCGGAACUACAAGUGUAGAGGUGAAAUUCGUAGAUAUUUGUAGGAAUGCCGAUGGGGAAGCCAGCCUACUGGACAGAUACUGACGCUAAAGCGCGAAAGCGUGGGUAGCAAACAGGAUUAGAUACCCUGGUAGUCCACGCCGUAAACGAUGAUUACUAAGUGUUGGGGG
rnacentral:rRNA from 1 species